UGGAUCUGUGAUGAGCUGUGGAUGCCAGAUGAGUGAGUCCUCCAUGACGGGUCAGUGUCUGAAAGUCUGAGAUUCAC
ensembl:snoRNA